UGAACCAGUAUUUCUCUGCUGUGUAUUUUAGCUUUUAAAAAAGUUAUUUUACUUUAAGGUUAACUGAAACCCGUUGAGCUGCACUGAAGUUUAACAUUCAGCUGGUUUGAAUUAAACCGCGCUUAACAUUGCGCAACAUUACCUCUCUGAAUCUCCAUAAUUUCAUUAAAUUCCUUCUCUCUUCCACUGCUCAAGUUCCAUCCAGUAUAUAAAAUGACAUUAAUAGUGGAUAAACUAACAACCAGCCAUUGUAUUUAUUUAUUACUGCAUGUAUUUGUAGUAAAACAUGAGUUGAAACGUCCUACUUUUGGAUCUAGAACUGCACAAGCUGUUCAUUUUCAGUCACCUGACGAGUUAAACUCCCCUUUUUAUGUGAGGUUGAAGCAGAAAGUGUGAGAUGAAGAAAGUUGUUUAUAAUUUGCGAUACCUGUUAUCUCUGACUGAGGCUUUAGUUUUUGUUGAGCUGAUUUACACAUAGAAACUUUGUUCAGGAAGAUUUCUCAGUAGCUCAGAGGACAAGCUGCUUUUUACACAACCUUGUAAGAGAAUGUCUGUCAAUGCUUUCAGCAGAAUUUAGAAACACAACACUUCCUAAACAGAUAUUUUGAGGCUGUGAGGUUGAACGUUUGAGAGUAUAUCAGUGUGUUUGUGGUCUUUCUGUUUCUAGGGGGAAGCUGAAUUAGUGAGGAUGACUCCUGCUCCUGUCAUCUCUAAGCUCCUCACACAUCUUUACCUGCACAUGAGGAAAAUCACUCCUGUAGAAUGCAGAUGUUCAGAGGGAGAUGAUGCCACAUCUGGUCCAGCCGAUGGAAGGUCUUGAAGUUCUCUGACUGGCCUCGACUGAAGAUGGUCGUCUCACUGGAUUUAAGGUUCAGAUGCUCAGUAACAAACUCCACCAUUGUGCCAACAGGGAAGCUUUAGGUUUAUUAAAUGUUGCUAUGAAGGUAUCGCUGUUUUUCUUUGUGAAUGCAAUGUGCUCCAACUGAAACUUGAAUUAGAACUUAGAAGUAAAUCCUUCCAUCUGAAAGGAUUUAGUUGCAUUAAUAACCUCAUAACAUUCUAAUUUUUAUUCCAGUCUUGGUUGAAAAUAGAAUCUCUGUAUUGAUUCAGGUAAAAACUGAACUUCACAGCAUGUUGAAGCAAAACAACCAGAUGAAAACUGUGAUGGUGUUGGAUUGUCAGACCGUAAUGUUGCAGCUCAAAGCAGCUUUUCUAGCUCAGUUCAUUCUGACAUUCAGCUAUGAAUCAACACAGCAGAUGGUGAUCCAUGCUGUGGAAGUCUCACAUCUCCUGAUUUAAUGGAGCUGCUUUGCACUUUUUACACUGUUUAUUCACCAACACUUUAUUUAAUAAAAGUCCCAUCUAGUUUUUAUGAGGAAUGUGAUGUUUUAAUUUCUCUGUGAAUAACUGCAGUCUAAUGUAACAGCUGGAGUUGUAACAUCUGUCCUGAUAUUGAUCAUGAAGUAUUGAUCAGAAUACUUAUGGUUAGCAGUCAUCCCUGAAGUUUUACAUUAAAAUCUUUACUUGUGUUGUGAACUUUGGUAAGAAACAGAAAUGUUAGCGUUGCCAUGGAUACAUAAGUGUUAAAUUCUGUCCAUGUUUUUAUUUUGGGAAAUGCAGUCCAGUUCCAGAAUGUGGAGGAAUUUAGUCUCACAAUCACAGACAACAAAUAUUAUCUGAAAGUCGGGUUGUUGUUGUUUAUCAGCACAAUACAAAAAGAUUAAUGUUAGAAAUAUUCCAGUUAAGACUCCAGAAUAUCAUGAGUUAUGUAAAUUUACCUCAAUAAUAUGAAUGUUCAGGUUAAGAUUGUACAGUGAUAUUUAUUAUGUAAGUUUAGCUGAUUAAAGUUUAUGACUCUGCACUAAAAUAUUAUUUAAAUUGACAUCAUUAUUAUAAUAUUUAGGGUCAGACCCUACAGUAUUGAAAUUAAGAAAUCAAAUAUUCUAUAAAAUGUAAAUACACUGAACUAAUCUGGAUAUAUUUAAGUGGGACUCUACAAUAUUAUUUGACACAAAUCUAUCUAAAUCAAAAUUUUAAUAAUUUUCACGCCAAGCAUUUACUGGACUGAUUUAAUUAUUAAAAUCACUCCUUUCUAAUCCUCUGCUGUACGUUCAAACCUGAGACCUUAAAUAGAAACACACAAGUAUCUGUUUGAAGGAACUUCUGCAGAGUCCUGGUUCCAGAACAUGAUGAUAGAAUUAUAGACAAACUUUAACAAAAGCUGCCUGAGAGUUUACAGGUUUUUAUGUUGGAUUUCUUCAGUAAUUUAAUGAGAGUUAUCAGCAAUAAUCAAGUGUUCAUUUGAUGAACUUGAUUUCCUAAAACAUCCAGAAUUGGAGCUCAGCUGUAAAGUUUCUGCUUCUUCAAAGUUCACAAUACAAUGAAUGAGUUCCUAAAACACUCAAUGCUGGAGAGCGUUUGUGAUGCUGAAGCAGUGACCAGUUUUUCUGUUUCUUCUCUGGAGAUGCACAAUGAGGGACGUCUGCAGAGACUGAGAAAGAGUCUCACCACAUCCUGACAUGAGGAAAAAGACUUUAUUGAAGACUACAAUGAGAAAAACUAUCAGACAGCAGAGGGCUGCAUUCAAGGUGAGCUCUGAACAUUUGAUCUGGAACAGGAAUUCAGUAACGGCAGCAUGAGCUUCAUUUCAGUCUGUAGCUGCUGAAUUCAUGGAUGAAUCAUCUGGCACUAGAGAAGAAGACCAUCAAACAUCCACGUCAGCUGAUGGAGGUCCAAGAGUCUCACCGAACAAACUUCCUACAGAGUGAAGACCUCAAAUCUGAUUGGACGGCCUCCUAUUCAGCCACGUGUGAACAAAUGCCUCUAAGCUGAUUUGUUUUCUAAAAUAAAUCUAGUUUGAGUCCUAA